rnacentral:sRNA from 1 species
ACGACCGUACUUGAACAGGAUUUGUGGUAUUAGGUUGUGCUGUGUCCUUGAGUUCUGAGGAGACAUGAACCUAAGUCUGGUAGAUGAAUUGUGACCAUGUUAUCAGAGCAUGAUUAGAAGUUAUCAACUAUUUGUAGCUGCAUGAAAAGAAAAAAAACAUCCAUUUUAAAGUUUCUUGAUCAGAAGUCUAAUAUGACCUAGCUGAUUCUAUCUUUUGACU